rnacentral:rRNA from 1 species
UGGGGAAUUUUGCACAAUGGGCGCAAGCCUGAUGCAGCAACGCCGCGUGAGUGAAGAAGGCCCUCUGGGUUGUAAAGCUCUUUCGGCUGGGAAGAAGGGUCUACGUGCUAAUAUCACGUAGAUUUGACGGUACCAGAAGAAGAAGCACCGGCUAACUUCGUGCCAGCAGCCGCGGUAAUACGAAGGGUGCAAGCGUUGUUCGGAAUAACUGGGCGUAAAGGGCGCGUAGGCGGGUUGGUAAGUUAGAUGUGAAAUCCCCGGGCUUAACCUGGGAACUGCAUCUAAUACUGCCGAUCUUGAAUGUUCGAGAGGGUGGUGGAAUUCCCGGUGUAGAAGUGAAAUUCGUAGAUAUCGGGAGGAACAUCCGAGGCGAAGGCGGCCACCUGGCGAAACAUUGACG